rnacentral:rRNA from 1 species
AGCAGUAGCCGCGGUAAUACGAAGGGGGCUAGCGUUGCUCGGAAUGACUGGGCGUAAAGGGCGCGUAGGCGGCGGCCAAAGUCAGGCGUGAAAUUCCCGGGCUCAACCUGGGGGCUGCGUUUGAUACUUGGUUGCUUGAGUGGGGAAGAGGGUCGUGGAAUUCCCAGUGUAGAGGUGAAAUUCGUAGAUAUUGGGAAGAACACCGGUGGCGAAGGCGGCGACCUGGUCCUUUACUGACGCUGAGGCGCGAAAGCGUGGGGAGCAAACAGGAUUAGAUACCCCGGUAGUCCCUGUCUCUUAUAC